rnacentral:lncRNA from 1 species
CUUUACAACUCUCUGUGCUUCCAAAAUGUGGCCUUACCAGUUACAAAGACAUGACUAUCAAAAGCAAGCAGGUCUUUCCAGCCAUCUGCUCGGCAGGAAGGAGGACGGCUUGAUUAAGAUUGCACAUCCACUUCAGCUGGUGGCUUAAUCAGCCCCAAACCUAAAAGAGCUUUCACAGCUCCUUCUGCUCUUCCCCAAACCCCUCCUGUGGGGUCACCUGGUGAUGGUCUGGCUGGGCUCAGCUUGUGGACUAGGAUAUCACAGGACACAUGGAGUAACCACGAUUCAAUUGGGUUCUGGAGAUGGGUACCAGUCCUGCCAUCAGUCAGAGAUCUGUGCCUUAGGCCCGUCAGUCAAAUUCUUUCUUCUGAGGAGGCAAGAAUUGAGGUUGCUGCAGACCCACACGGAUUCACCGCUGGUAACUCAGAUACCUUCCAACCUUCCACUGGACUGCGCCAGCCCAGACAAGUCCAAGAGGAGGAUUCCAGGCAGUUAAGAUGGUUUCCGGAGAAGCCUGGAAUUUCCCCGUAAGCACAAGCUCGGCAGAAAAAGGCAGGGUCCCUCGGCAGCCAGGGCAGGGGCUGAGUCAGUCCCAAGUCUCCCUGGCAAAUGGAUCACCCCUUAGGGUGGGAAGAGCCCCCCAGCUGUGUGGGGAACCUGGCUAGAGGUUGCUGAACCUCUGCUUUCAAGGAGUCUUGUGACCCCGGGAGCAUAGAACAAUCGCGGAGGCGCUUACAUCCAAAAUCCAUUUUCCUUCAAAAAAGUGUCCAGGUGGAGGUAAAGAAAGAGGACCCUGUAUACUUUGGUAAAUCUGUGAUUUAGCUACAAUGUAACUGGGCCUUGGGAACCCAGGGUGAGGUUUCUUAUGUGACAUCUCCUGGAAAAGCUCCGCUCAAUUCCUGAAAAAUCCCUUAUCAGACACCGACAGGAAACAGGGAUUUCCAGGGAAAUGGAUGUGGAAGGCACCUGAAGGCCAUUCCAAAACUCCAAAGUUUUUAUUUAUUUUACUAACUUAGGUGACUUAGACAUACAACUUCCUGCAAACAGUGCAUUCAGCUUUGUGUUCCUAAGCAAAUAAAUGGAACAGAGGCCACCAAAACUAGGCCCGCUGGAAAGGGCAGAGCAGAUGCCCUUACACCCAUAGCCCCUGGGGGUCAUGCCUGUGAGUUCUUGCAUAUCAGCUUGUGACAGCGUUGUGACCUGCCCCUUUGUCACCUUGCCACCACAUCACCCCCCAGGGGUCUGGGCAUUUCCUCGAAGCUGCUUCCAGGACAGGAUCAGGAACGUGUUACUUGGGUGGGGGGCUGGGAGGGAGGCAAGGAGCUCUGGUUCUGCCCAUGUCCUCCAGCCUCGAGUGUGCAACUGCUCUUCUGGGAACUUGGGUCUCCUCAUCUGAAACACAGGGAAUUAGAGAAGAUGAUUUUGUAACGCUCGAAGGCUCUGUAAUCCCCAAAAACAUGCUCUAAAGGGAUCUCCAGUCCAGCAUAUCAACCCAAACAAAAGACAACGCUGUGGUUACUUGUUCAAAUGCCUCUUUCUUCUUGUAAACAGUGCACUCCCAAUGACAGAGGCCCUCUGCUACUCAUCAUCUAGGUAGCUGACAGGUGGCUGCCUGCGGUACCUGAUGUUUGGACAGACAAACAAAUGACCAGGUGACACCCAAGUGCGAUUCUCUCUGAUCGCCAUCCUGUAGCCUGUCUCCUUAGCUGGGCUCCAAGCUCUUUGGGGAGCGAGGAACAGAUCUGUUCUACAUAGAAUCUCCAAUCAGAGCUGACGGUGGCUCAGGAAGCACCAGGGUGCCCAGGCUAGUUGUUGAAAUAUUGAAGUACUUCUGUGCAGUUGCUGAGCCUGAGAGAGCCUCUCUCCCCUCCCCCGCCACCAAGCCCAACAUCUAUCCGAAGGUUUCCUCUCCACCAUCCAGCCACUGAAGGGUGGUGACUGAUGUAGCAGGGCUGUAGGCCUCUGCUCCAGGACUGUAUAUGCCUGGUGCCAUUCUGAUUGGCCAGCGCCCUUGCCAUACUGUCGUUAAAUGUUGAGUGGUAGACCAGCCCAAUGCAGGUGAUGGGGAGGGAGAGCAGAUGACUGGUAGGUGCCACCUGUCACCUGAGAAUAGAUAUAUGUAGGCCCUGCUUUCCCAAUGGACUGAGAAUGUUCCCAGCAAAGAAGUGGGCAGUGUGUGCUGCCUGACCCCAAGAAGACACAUGCCCAGAUCCCUAGCUGGACAGAACGAGGACCUCCAAGCACACCUGCAGGCAAAGGAAUGGGCUGAGUCUCAGCCCCCCGGACUUACGAGCCAGGCGGCCCCACCUGUCUAAACUUGCGUUUCCUCUUCUGUACACAGGAGACAGUUAAACCUACCUUCCAGUUUGCGUGAGGACUUGUGUCUAACACGGGCUCUGAUCUGUACCCACAGGUGGAGAGCGUGGAGGCGCAAAGGUUCUACUGGCUCUUCCCAGGCGCCCCCACACAAACUGGACUCCAAUCCAGGAGGAAGCACGGAGGCGGCCUAACCUGGGCCCUCCUCCAUCCACGGAGCUGAGGGCCCAGAGAGGGAGGGCAACUCGCCCUCCACCACACCCCGCACAGCAGCUCCCUCCUUCCCCAGGGCCCAGCCCUGACACCUCCUGUCCCUGCCGGAGCCCUGCACCUGAGGACCCAGAGCCACGCGGGACCUUCUUUCACAGCCAGGAGGCGUCGGGGAGCUUCCCAGGCUGACUCUGCUUCCCGUGCUUUCCCCACCGCCCCCGCCAGAAACUGGGGCCCAAAUGGCAGCAUCCCCACCCCACGGCGCCCCAGCGCUGCAAAGCGCAGCCCUUCCGUAAACGGCCUGGGGAAAUGAAGUUGGUGGACUCUGCCUGUCCUCGUCCGGUGUCACCUCCUGCCGGCCUCCUCAUUCUGCCAGGGCUUCUGGCUCCUCACCCGGGCACAGAGGCCCCUUCAGCAGCAGGGAUGGGGGCAUUCGGAGAAGGACUGGGGCCGGCUGAUCCUGGCCUGACAGAGGCCUCCUCACCCACUGGCACCAGCCCUGCCCUGAAGACGUGGUCGUAGCAUCGAUGCAAUCGGGGGGGAGCGUGGUGGGUGGGGCACAGCCUGAAGGAGGAGGUCGAGCAAACACGUGGCCUCAGCUGGGACGCAGCACUGUCUGCAGAGCCCCUCGAAUCCAGCUCCACAUCUGGUUCUCGGGGGCGCAGGGCUGCCCGUGCAGGAUUAUCGACCCUGUUUUCAGGGAACAGGAAACUGAGGCCAAGCGAGGGGUCCUGAGCCGCCCAAGGUCAGAGAGGUGGUGAGGGGGAGAGAUGCAACAGGGGGGUCCCCAGAGUAAGGGCGGGCAGGGCGGAUGCCUGUGCUGAGAUGUGGCGCCGAGGCCUUACGAGCACCCACUGAAGGUCUGUUCAGUCACCCCAAGAAUGUCUGGAGCCCGAGUAUCAUCUGGCAGCCACCCUGGAGAAGGAACCAAGAACGCGGGGGGAGUCGGAAAGGGGGGCCCACCGAGGGGAGAAAGGGGUCGGCGCCGCUGUUCGGGCUGGUUGCUUUCUGGGCUCCUGAGCCCGGUGCUGUCCCACCCUCCGGGAAAGUCUAAAGCAAGAGGUGCCACCGCCCUCCGUGUCCUGCAGGCUGAGGAGCAGUGACGCUAUUCAGCAAGAUGAGAAACACGGGCAGGAGGUAAGAACUGAGAUCUCCUUCCUGUCGGCAUCUGACGGGAGGAGGCAUGUGAAUCCCAGGAGAAAACAAAACCUAGAAAGCGGCUGAGCCAGGAGACCCCUGGGCGGUGGGCUUAGCAAGGGGCAGGGGUUACCCACAGUCCUCCCUAGCACCUCGUCCCCAUCCUCUGCCUUCACACCUGGGACUCUCUUCCAUGCUGGGGGAAACCUUCAGAUGAAUUGAUUCUCGCUGAGGUUGUGCAGACCGAUAUUAAGCCGAGCACAUAGAUACUCAGAAUAAAGACUGCAUUUCCCAGCAUCUCUUGCAGCAGAUAUGGCCACAUGUCUAGGAUCUAGUCAACAGGUAAAUGCAACAUUAGGGACUUUUCUUACAGGAAGUGGUCAUACCCUUUCCUUCCUUCCUGGUGGCUGGAAUACAGGCGUAAUGGCUGGAACUGAAACAGCCAUUUUUGAUCAUGAAGUAAUCUUGGGAAUUAAGCCAAGUUUAGAGAAGAAACAAGACAGAAGCAUACUGUGUGUCCCUGACCCCACGGAGCUGCCACACUGGCCUAGCCCACCGACAUUUUGAAAGUUUUAUGGAAAAAAAAUAGCUUUAUAGUUUAAGUUGUUUGUUAUUUGGGACAAAGUCAAUAUGAAAUAACACACCUUUUUUUUGUUGUUUGAAGUAAACUUUUGUUAGUUUUUUAAAUAAUUUUUAUUUGUAUUUCAAUAGUUUGGGGGGGUAAAGGUGGUUUUGGGUUACAUGGGUAAGUUCUUUAGUGGUGAUUUCUGAGAUUCUGGUGCACCCAUCACCCAAGCAGUGUACACUGUACCCAAUAUAUAGUCUUUUAUCCCUCAUCCCCUCUCAACCUUCCCCUACCCCAGCCCCAGAGUCGAUUUUAUCAUUCUUAUGCCUUUGCAUCCUCACUGCUUAGCUCCCGCUUAUAAGUGAGAACAUAUGAUGUUUGGUUUUCCUGAAUCACUUCACUUAGAAUAAUGGUCUUCAACUCCAUCCAGGCUGCUGUGAAUGCCAUUAUUUCAUUCCUUUUUAUGGCUGUGUAGUAUUCCAUGGUGUAUAAAUACCUUAUCCACUCAUUGGUUGAUGGGCACUUAGGUUGGUUCCAUAUCUUUGCAGUUGUGAAUUGUGCUGCUCCAAAUGUGUGUGCAUGUGUCUUUUUCAUAUAAUGACUUCUUUUCCUCUGGAUAGAUACCCAGUAGUGGGAUUGCUGGAUUUAAUGAUCGUUCUACUUUUAGUUCUUUAAGUAAUCUCCAUCUGUUUUCCAUAGUGGUUGUACUAGUUUACUUUCCCACCAGCUGUGUGAAAGUGCUCCCUUUUCACCGCAUCCAUGCCAACAUCUGUUGUUUUUUGAUUUUUAAUUAUGGCCAUUCUUGCAGGAGUAAGGUGAUAUCUCAAAGUGGUUGAAAUUUGCAUUUCCCUGAUGAUGAUUAGUGAUGUUGAGCAUUUUUUCAUAUGAUGGAGGCUGUUUGUAUAUCUUCUUUUGAGAAUCGUCUAUUCAUGUCCUUUGUCCCCUUUUGCAUGGGAUUGUUUGUUUGUUUUUUUCUCGCCGAUUUGUUUGAGUUCCUUGUAGAUCCUGGAUAUUACCUUUGUCGGAUGCAUAGUUUGCAAGCAUUUUCUCCUCCUCUGGGGUUGUCUGUUUACUGUGCUGAUUAUUUAUCUUGCUGUGCAGAAGCUUUUUAGUUUAAUUAGAUCCCAUUUAUUUAUUU